GAUUAUCAGCAAAUAAAUUCCUACUGUGUGCAAAAUGUGGAAUGUUACUCUGUAGUAUUCUUGCCUGCGGCUAGCAGCCUUAAAGUUCAGAAAUGACCAUGUGAGGCUAGUCCUUCGUCUCUGCACCUGACUCAGGUCUGCUGUCUAUGUCAUGAGCCCCAUGCAAGAGCAAAGAGAGACCCUAACCCAGAGACCCUGUUCCCCGAGGGACUCCCAGAGCACACAGGGCUCGGCACAAACCACGCCAGCCAUGUUCCAUGUGCACAUUUAUUUCUUCCAACGACCACUCCUGCUGCAGCCAGGUGUCCCCCAGUGGGGUUGGCACCUGUGUCUAAAGUGCUGCUGAGGCCACAGCCGUCGCCACAAGUCCAAUGCCCACAUGCCACACCGCGCCAGCCUGAACCUGCAUCUUCUUUCAGUGUGGUACCGAAGAUAGCCUUGGGGACCUUGGGCCGUGGUCUAGGAUGUGAAGAGAGCCCUGCGGCUCUGGGCAGUGGAGACUGCCUGGCAUCCGGCUUCGCACUGACCCUGAGACCUGUGUCUCGCCUGCCAGAGCGCAUGAUCUGACUUCCGUUGUCUACCUGUGCGCGUGCUGAGGAUUGAGGCCCCCAAUUCUCCAGUGUGUUGCCCAGAAAACACCUGCUUUCCAGUGGCAGCAGUGACACAGACCCUCUCCUUCUGCUCAGGAACACAAUCCUGAUCUCAAGUCUGCAAGUCCCCGUAAGUCUGGAUGGGCAGAGACCAGCCAGGCAGCCGAGGCGAGGAAUCCAGGGCUGGUGUUGGACUUAAAACUUGAAACGUGAUUAAAAUAAAGUGCUCAAGUGACUCCU